CUCCUGACCUCAAGUGAUCUGCCCACCUUGGCCUCCCAAAAUGCUGGAAUUACAGGCAUGAGCCACUGUGCCCCGCCCAAUUAAUAUUUAAAAGUCUAAGUAAAUGAAAGGGGAACAACAUGGCUCAAUGGAGAAAAUGUCUAAUUUAUGUAAUAUCAUCGUUGUACAAAAUGGAUGCACCUUAGGUGAUUUAAGCAUUCUGAAAAGACCAGGCUUUCUAGGAUACUGCUACAUUUUAGGAGAUUAGAAAUCAAUGGAAUUGGCACAGUCUUUGUCUGUUGAGUGGGUUUUCAUGGGUGUUCAUUGUACAUCUUUAAAAUGAGUAAAUGACUAUAUACAUGAAUAAAAUCAAACAAGGACAAGCCUAUACUAACGACGAAGAACCAAAAUUUAGGAUUAAUUUGAUUUAGUGUUAUUUAGGAUGGUUUCUAAAAAAGAUCAAGUCCCUAUCACAAAUUGUUCUAACUGUUUUAGAAUUCUACUGCAGGUUUCCCUAAGCAUUCCUCAAGUGAUAAAAAUGUAAGUUAUGAAGAAGGGACACACGGGAACUAGAAGCACUUGUCAGUGUUUUAGUUCUGGUGGUUGAUUCAUGUUAUGUAUAGAAAGAAUAUACACAUUAUGUGAGAAAAGGCCAAGGAAGGACCGAUAAUGCGAGUGCAAUACAUUCUGAAAUGUGUUUUAUGAUCAAAGUAUCUGUGACCUACAGCGGUCCACUACAAAGAGGGAUUUAAGUGUUUACAUCUGUAGGAAUGCCUACAGAUAGAUUUCAGUGAUAUUCAGGAAACAGGUUCUCAGUCCUUGGUGCUUCAUGGAUUUUGAUUUUGUUGUUAUUCAAUAAGUGAAAGAAUAAACAAAUAUGUCAAUGCAUAAAAAUGAAUAGAAUGAAGUGUAUCUAACUACGAAAAUAUGGGGUGAGGCAAGAAUUAUUGUUAAUAUACGUAGAACCACUGGAGUUCAUUAAAUAAUGAUAUCUUUACCCCAAAAUGUAACCCCUUAAUGCAUGAAAGGGGUUACAUUUUGGGAUAAGGAUAAGUAGGCAAGGUAGUGAUGUAUAGUAGUCAGGGUGCUUGCUUUGAGUCUGUGACAAGUUCAAGUGGUUACUUACUGCAGAGGGAAAAAAAUAAAUUAUGCCAUAAAAUAAUAAAUAUCUAAAUGACUGAGGAAAUGAAAUGGGGAAGGCAUGUAUCAGUGGAAAGAAUAUCUCAGCUUUCUAUUAUUUGCAUUGCUUAUAUUUCUCAGAAUGAAAGCUCCUAGCUGAUUCUCAGAAUGAAAUGAAAGCUCCUAGCACAUUCUCCUGUGGUCAUGAACUCUGUGUUAGGAGCAUAGGAACCAAUGUAAGAGUCAAAGCACUUCUCUUAUUAUGAGUGGCUUGUUUAAAAAUACUCACUGUACUAUUUACAAAACAUGUUAAGGUUAGUCAAAGAAGUUGAUUAUGGUGUACUAUGGCAUUGAUGUGAAAUGUAUGUUCAUUAAUGGAUAUGUACAACACAAUUAAUGAAGGUUAUAGAUACUGAGUGAAUUUACUCUGUAGACAAUUGUUAUGGAUAUUUAAGAAUAUUGUUCUAUGGAAUUUGUGAUUCAUACACAUUUAUAUUAUUGUAAUUAUUCUAUUGAAGAACUAAUAAAUCAACAAAUAUAGAAAUGUAUGAGAAAGAGAUGUCAAAUCCUGAACCAGUGGUGAUGGCUGGUGGCAUAUUUAGUCACAGAUGAUGAAUAAAUACAUGCCUGAAACUCUGAGGUUAGUACCUUGACAGAGAUCUAGUCUGUUAUUUUUGAUGGAUGUAGUCCUGUAGAAUCAUUAGUUAUGCACGAAGGUGAUGUUCUUGGGCUUUUGUAGUUUAUGAAUUUUGAUUGUAUUGUUACAAAACAAUUAAUGACAAAGUUUAUACAACUGCGUGAAGAUGAAGACGGUGAAACAUUGUCCAAUUAUGAAAUAUGAGGUGAGGACUGAAAUACUAUUAAUAUAAUUUGAAAGUCCUAAGGUCCAUAAGUAAAUAAGUGUCACCUCUUUGGUACAGUAUCAUAUCUGCAGACCAGUACCAGUGCCUGGCGUGUUAGGAACCAGGCCACACAGCAGGAGGUGAGUGGCGGGCGAGCAAGCAUUACCACCUGAGCUCCACCUCUUGUCAGAUCAGUAGUGGCAUAAAUUAGAUUCUCGUAGGAGCAGAACCUGUUGUGAACGGUGCAUGCCAGGGAUCUAGGUCUAAUCUAAGUCCUAUGAUCUGAGGUAGAAGAGUUUCAUCUGGAAACAACCCCUCCCUGGCCUGGUCCAUGGGAAGUUUGUCUUGUACAAAACCCAUCCUGGGUGCCCAAAACGUUUGGGACCACUGGUGUAGACAGUGAGAAGUAACAGUUAAUGUUAUUGUUCUGCAUCAAUGGCAAGCACCAUCCUGUCCUAUUUUUAGAAGAGACAAAUAAUAACAUCAAUUAGUAAAUAUUUAUGUGACUAAAUAAAUGAAAGUUUGAAAGCCAUUGUCAAUGGAGAGAAUGUCUCAAUUUUUUAAUCACUGGUUCUCCUUUGUAUUCCUAAAGGUGGAAGCUGUCUGCAGUAGGAGCAUGGAGACCAAUAGUGGAUGCUCUUAAACUGAUUUAAGCACGCUUCCAUGGUCACAAGCCCUAUGGUUGCCACGGGGCAUUAGGAGCAUGGAGACCAAUGUGAGUAAUAAUCAAAGUUUGCAUUUUGGUGUGGGUUGUUUGCUUAAGGGUAUUAUUCACUCACUGUAUUAUUGAAAAGGGUGAAAUAUGAUCAGAGAAGACCAAUUGUUGUGCAGUGACAAAAUUGAUAUAAAGCACUAUAUAAAUUAAUGGAUAUAUGAAAAACUGAAGACAAUAAAGGAGAUACAUUGAUGUAAGAUGACUUUGUAUACGGACUAGAAAUAUCAAGGGUCUCCUUGAGUUUUGUGAAUAUAGGGCUUUAAAAUUAUUAGUGAAUGAAUUAACUAAUCAAUGGAUAAUGUGGAAGUGAGUGGAGAAAAAGAGAACGAGUCCUGGAUCAAUGAUGUGAUGACCACUAGUUGCGUAUGAAUCUUAUGUGGCAUAUGAAUCUUAUGUGGCAUAUGAAACCCUGAGGUCUGUUGGGGAAGAUACAUGGCCCAUUCUCUCUUUCAAAUGAUGCUACAUAAAUGUUUCAGAAAUGUUUUUCUUUGUGAUAAUUUCAUUCUAUUUUUAUAAUUGGAUCAAUGUGAGAAUCAAUAAACAAAUAUAUAAAUAAAGAUAAGGUAGAUGAAGCAUUGUUCAGGUAUGGCAGGAUAUAUUAUUAAUAUGUAUUGAAAACAGUGAAGUCCAAAGAGAAAUAAAUGGCACAUGCCUGUCACCUCUUUGGCCAGUGAUGACAUAGAUAGUAUAAUUAUAGACAAUGUUCAAUUUUUUGGUUAGUGACAAGUUCAAAAUUGUUCAUUUUCUUAAGAGAAAAUGAAAUAAAUAUACCCAGAUAAUUACUGCCUAAAUGACCAACUAAAUGAAAGGUGAAAGGCAAAGAUCAAUGGUGAUAAUGUCUCAAAUUUGUUAUCAUCUUCUCUGCUCUGUACUCCUCAGAAUGAACCUAAUUGUACUGUUUUAAGAAUUCUUCCAUGGUCCUCUGUUUGCACCAUGCUUAGGAAGGAGCAUACGGACCCAGGAUGGAUGUUUGCCAGCCGAUUCCAUGGUUACAAGCUCUACAGCUGCAUCUAUGUUAGGAGCAUGAAGACCAAUAAUGGAUGCACUGAGCUGAUUAUGAAUUUAGCCCUGAUCAAGACUUGUGGUGCUGUCGUGCUAUGAAAGAUUCCAGUGUGAGUAAUAGCCACGAUCUUGUGUUGUUUGGGUGGUUUGUUUAAGGAUAUUUACUGUGUUAUUGAAAAUUUUAAAAAGUCAGAUAAUGUGUAUAUAUAUAAUGAAUAUCAAUUAUAGACUUGAAUUAUGGGAACCAUAAAUUUUUAUAACUAUUACACAUGAAUUACUGAAUUAAUCAACAAAUAAUGUCUAACUGAAUGAAGAGAAAGUGGACCCUUCCUGGACCAAUGAUGAUAAAUACUGGUGUAUGAGUCUUGGAUGAUGAAUAAUACAUGUCUGGAACUCUGAGGUCCAACACAAAAGAAAGCCAGUUUUUUUCUGCUCAUGUAUUUUCACUCUAUUAUUAUAAUUGGAUCAAUAAAAGAAUCAAUGAACAAAUAUAUAACUAAAUAAAGAUGACUCGUGUGAAGCAUUGUCCAAUUAUAAAAAUAGAUGAUGUGGCAAGAAAUAAUAUUAAUAUAUACUGGAAACUCUGAACUUCAAAGAGAAAUAAAUGGUACAUGAUUGUUAAAUCUUUGGCUAAGUAUGAUGUAGACAGUAAUAGGUAAAUAUCUGUCUUCAUUUUCUGGGUCAAUGGCAAGAUUGACAUUGUUAACCUACAUAGGAGAAAAAUAAACAUUAUUACAAAUUACUAAUUAUGUAUGACUGAAUACCUGAAAAGAGGAAUUGAAGGACCAGUGGAAAGAAUGUUACAACCUUUUAAAAUCAUCUGCUCUGCUCUGUGAUCCUCAGAAUGAAAGCACUUGAGUUGAUUCAAGCACUCUUCUAUGGUCAUGAUCUCUAUGAUUGCCUCUGUGUGUUAGGAGCAUACAGUCCAAUAUGGAUCAGAAUGAAUGCAUCAAGUGGGCUUAAGCAUUCUGCUUGAUGGAAAGCUGUGUUGCUGUUGUGUUUGGCAAGAAACUAACGUGAGUAAUAGCCAAAAUUUUGGUCUUCCUUUGGGUACUUGACUAAAGGUAUUCACAGUAUUAUUAAAAAUUUUAAAUUAUUAUAAAGUUAACCAUGGCCCAAUGGUUAACAUAAUAUAGAACAGUAUGUUUAUUAAUCAAUAAUGUGCCACAGAGAGGUGAAUGAAUGAAAGCGACAUUGUCUAAUGUGGAAAGGAUUGUGUAGACAGACGCUUGGUAUGUCUGGCAUCAUGUUCAUAGGUUUUUGUGAAUCAUGUUCUUAUUUUACUCUUAUAAAUUGAUUAAUGAUUUAUUCAAAACAAAAGUAGAAAUAUAUGAAAAUUGAGACCAAUGAUGGCAUGAGCCAUAUACAAUGAGUUAAACAUGUCUGGACUUUGAUGUCCAACACAAAAGACAUAUAGUCCAUAUUCUUGAUAUAAGGCAUCCUCUAGGCCCAUGUUGGGAAUAUCCAAGGGUCUUGGUCUUGAUCUUUGGGUUCAUAUAUUUUCAUUCUAGUAUUAUAAUUGGAUCAAUGAAAUAACCAAUCAAUAAGUAAAUUAAUGAAGUAUUGUUCAAAUUAAAAAUAUGUAGUGAGCAAAGAAACACUACUAGUAUAUUAUGAAAACACUGAACUCUAAUUUGAAAUAAUUUUACAUGACUUUUACCUCCUUAGCUCAGGAUGGUGUAGAUAGUAUAAGUUACAGACACUGUUCAUGUUCUGGAUAGACGGCGAUUUUAAAUUUGUUCAUUUUCUUAAGAGAAAAAAAUACUCGAAAUGUGUGAUUACUGAAAUGACUGACUGAAGGUGAAAAGCAAGGAUCAGUGGAGAGAACGUCUCAGAUGUCUGUUCUCCUUCUUCGUUUUAAAAUCAUCUGUUCUGUCCUGUAUUUCUCACACUGGACCCAUCUGAGCUGAUUUAAGAAUUCUCCCAUGGUUAUGACUGUAUGACUGAAUCUCUAUUAAGAGCUUGGAGACCAAUGUGAGUAAGAGUCAAAAUUUUUGUCAUGGCUUGGGUGGUUUGUUUAAGGAUGUUCACUAUAUUUUAAAAAGUGUGAAAUAUAAUCACAAAAGGCCUAAUGUAAACAUCUUGAUUUGGGAUUAACAUGAAUCAUUAUACUGAUUAAUGCAUAUAUGAAAAACUGAGGAUAAAUAAUAAAAUUUAAAUACUGAUUUGUGAAUAAUGAUGGAUACCUAACAAAUAGGUAUGCUUUUGUUGGAGGUUUGUGAAUCAUCAGCUUUAAAAAAUAUUAUCAGUGAAUUUAUGAAUUAAUCAAUAAACAGUGUUGUAAAGAAUGAAGAGAAAGUGGGCCUUCCUGGACCGAUGAUGACAUUUGCCGGCGUAUGAGUGUUGGGUGAUGAAUAAUACGUGUGUAGAACUCUGAGGUCCAACAUACAAAACACCUCAAUCAGCAAGGAUCAGUGGAGGAAGAUCUAAUUAAAAAAAAAUCAUCUUCUUUUUUUUUGUACUCCUCAGAGUGAUAAUCUCGAGGUGAUUUAUGCAUUCUUCCAUGGCCACCAGCUUUAUGGUUGCAUCUCUGCGUUAGAGCUUAGAGAUCAAUGUGAGUAAUAGUCAAAGUUCUUGGUGUGGUUUAGGUGGUUUAAGGUACUCACUGCAUUACUAAAAAGUAUGAAAUAUAGUCACAUAAGGCCCGCUGUUACAAAUGACAAAUAUGAAGCGUUAUAUUGAUUAAUACAUGAGUGAAAAGCUGAGGAUAAUUAAAGCAGGAGAUACAUGGAGAUGAGAUGAUAAUAUGUACAGAUUAAGAAUAUCAAGGCUGUUCUUGGGGUUUUGUGAAUCAUAGAGUUUUGAUUUAUUGUUAGUGAACUAAUGAUUAAGUCAACAGACAACAUAGAAAUGAAUGGAGAAAAGGAGGCCCAAUCCUGGAUCGAUGAUGACCACUGGUGGCGUAUGAGUCAUACAUGAUGAAUUAUGUGUCUGGAACUCUGAGGUCCUUCACAAAAGAAAUUGGGUCUUUUUGUUCAUUCUUUCUUAUGUUAUUAUUAUGACUGGGUCAAUGAAAGAAUCAGUAAACAAAUAUAUAAAUGAAUCAAGGUAAAAUGGGGGAAACAUUGUCUAAUUAUAAAAAUUUGUAGUGAGGCAAGGAAUUUUGUUAAUAUGUGUAGAAAACACCAAAAUCCAAAGAGAAGUAAAUGGUGCAUAAUGGUUUAUUUUGGCAAAGGAUGAUAUGGACAGUAUUAAUUAGGUAAUGUUUUUAUUCUGGGUCAGUGGCAAGUUCAAAAUUGUUCAUUUUAAGAGAAAAGGAAAUAAAUAUACUCCAAGUAAUGAUUGCCUGAAUUAAUGACUAAAUGGAAGAUGAUAAGCAAGGAUCGAUGGAGGAUUUUCUCAUUUUUUAAUCAUCUGUUUUGCUCUGUACUCCUCAGAAUAGAUGCUUUAGAGGUGAUUCAGUCUCUCAUCCCUGCUCACCAGCAGGUUGGUUGCAUCUCGUUUUGGAGUAUGAAGGCCAAUAUGAGUAAUAGUCAAUGUUCCUGUCUUUGUUGGUGUAGUUUUUUAAAAAAGAUAUUUCCUAUGUUAUUAAAAUGUGUUAAAUAUAACCAAAGAGUCGCAAACAUUUCAAUUUUACUAUCAGAUUGAUAGACGUAUUAUAGUGAUUGGUCAUUAUAUGGAUCAAAGAAGAUCAUUACCAUGGAAGACAGUAAUGAAGAGAUUUAGUCUGUGGAAAUGAAUCUGUAGAUGAAUGUUAGGAAUCUUUAUGAGUACUAUUCUUGUGUUUUCUGACUGAUAUGUAUUUAUUAUUAAUGAAUUAAUCAAUGGAUAAAUUUGUAUUAGUGUGAAAUCAAAGAGAUCCUGGAUCAAUGAUGAUGACUGGUGUGAGUCAUGCAUAACGAAUACCAUGUGUCUGGAACUCUGAGGUCCAACACAAAUGGCAUCUAAUCCAUUCCCCAUUUCGAAGGGAUCUUAUGCACAGAUGUCAGAAUCUAUGAGGAUGUUGUUGUUGAUAUUUUUGUUCAUGAAUUUUAAAAAUAUUAUUGUAAACGAAUCAAGGACAGAAUAAAUAAACAAAUGUGUAAAUUAAUAGAGAUGAAGAGGGUGAAGCAUUGUUUAUUACUAAACUUCAGGAAAAUGAAUAUUAAUAGAAAUGGAAUGAGUAAUAAGUUGAUCAAGAAUAUUAUGUCUUGAACUAAGGAUGACACAGACUGUAAUAGGUAAUAGUUCUUGCUCUCAGUUGCAAGUUUUGAAGUUUAUUAUGUGAAAAAUAUAUAAAUAUUAGCAUAAAUUAAUAAAAGCCUAAAAGGCAGUGCUAACAACUGGUAAACAACGUGGAUCCAUGGAGAGAAUAUCUCAAUGUUUUUCUGUGCUUUCUACUCUUCAGAAUGGAUGGAGCAAGCUGUUUCAACCAUCUGUUGGGAUCAAGGCUGUUGUGUUACCUCCGUGUUUGGAAAGAGACCAAGAAUGAACACACUCAGGUGAUUUAAGCACUCUUCCAUGGCGACGAGCUCUGUGGUUGCCUCUGUAUAUUAACAGCACAGAGAUUAAAAAUGGACCCACUCAAGCUGACUUGGGAAUUCCUCCUUGGUCACAAGCUUUUGGGUUGCAUGUCUGCAUUAGGAGCCUAGAGAACAACAAUGAGUGCACUUGAGCCAAUUGAAACAUUCCUCCUUGCAUCUUUGUUCUAUGAUUGCAUCUAUUUGUUAGUAGCACAGAGACCAAUAAUGGACAUCGUUGUUCUGUCUUGAGAAUUCCUCUAGGGUUACAUGCUCUGUUUGCACCGUGCUUAGGAAGGAACCUGCAGACCAAUGUGAGUAAUGGUCAGAGUCGUUAUUGUGGUUUGGGUGGUUUGUUUAAGAGUAAUCAAUGUAUUAUUAAAAAGUGUGAAAUAUAGUCAAAGAUGGUUAAUGUUAUCCUGAUGGUAGACAUGGCAGUGACAUGAAGUAUUAUAUUGAUAAUGGAUGUAUGAAAAACUGAGGAUAAUUAAUGAAACAGAUAAUAUCAAUGUUAGAAUGAUUCUGGAUACAGAUCAGAAAUAUCAAGGCUGUUCUUGGAGUUUUUUGAAUCAUAGGCUUUGAAAUUAUUAUUAGUAAAUUAAUGAGGCAACCAACAGACAAUGUAAAACUGAAUGGAGAAAAGGAGGGCCAAUCCUGGAUCAAUGAUGACCACCGGUGGCGUAUGAGUCAUAUGUGAUGAAUACGUGUCUGGAACUCUGAGGUCCUAGUCCAUUCCCUCUGUUUUACGUGAUUCUAUAGACUGAUGUCAGGAAUAUAGAAUGAAGUUGUUUUGGUUUCAUUUUCAUUCUAAUGCAAGAAUCAAUAAACAUAUAAAUAAAGAUAAAAUAGGGGAGCAUUGUACAACUAUAAAAAUACGUGUUGAGGCAGGAAAUACUAUUAAUGUAUAUUGAAAUUGGUGAAGUCCAAAGAGAUAUUGUACAUACCUGUUACCUCUUUGGCUUAUAAUAAUAUAGACAGAAUAAAUUAUAGAUAAUGUUCAAAUUCUUAUUCACUUGCAAGAUCAAAUUGUUCUUUUUCUUAGGAGAAAAUGAAAUAAAUAUUAGUCCACCUAAUGAAUGCCUAAAGGACAGAUUAAAGGCAAGGUGAAAAGCAAGGAUCAUUAAUGAGAAAGUCUCAGUUUUGUUACUGUCUCUGCUCUGUAUUCCUCAGAAUAGAUGGCCUGUGCUGAUGGAAGGAUUCCUCCCUGGUGACGUGGUGUGUCUGCCUCUUGAUUGGGAGCAGGCAGACCAAUAAUGAUGCACUUGUUAUGAUUUGAGAAUUCCUCCAUGGUCACGUGCUCUGUUUUUAUCAUGGUUGGGAGCCUACAGACCAAUGUGAGUAGUAAUCAACAUUCUCGUCUUGGCUUGAAUGGUUUGAAUGGUUUGAGAGGAAUCGAUAUUAUCAAAAUAUCGGAUUGUCUUGAAUCCCUGACCUCAAGUGAUCCACCCACCUCAGCCUCCCAAAGUGUUGGGAUUACAGGCAUGAACCACAGCAUCUGGCCAGAAGCACUCUUAAUAUCUUUUGACACAGUGAAGUCCACAGAGAUAUAAAUGGCAUCUUCUGGUGACCUCUGUGGCUAAUGAUGGUUUAGACAGUACAAAUUAUAGAAAACAUUCAAUUUCUGGGUCAAUGGCAAUUUCAGAAUUAUGCAUUUCUUUAGAUAAAAUGAAUAUACUGCAAAUAAUGACUGCCAAAAUGACUGACUAAUGAUAGGUGAUAAGAAAGGGUCGGUAGUGACAAUAUCAAAAUAGGAUAAUAGGAUAAUAUCAAAUAUAUUUAAUAUUUGAUAAUAAAUAUAUUUUUUAUAUUUAAAAUAGGAUAGUAUAAAAAUAGAGGAUAGGAUAGAUAAUAGGAUAAUAUGGAAAUAGAGGAUAACAAAAGUUAUCUUCUUCUCUGCUCUGUGUUCCCUGGAAUGAUUGCACUUUGCUGAUUGAGGGAUUCCUUCAAGGCCACGUGCUCUACUUGCACCGUUUUUGGGAUGGAGCCUGGAGACCUAGAGUGAACAAUUUGUGCUGUGUUAAGGAUUCCUCCAUGAUCACGUGCCCUGUUUGUACACCAUGCUUGGGAAAGUGCAUGCAGACCAAUAAUGGACGUACUUGUGAUGAUUUAAAGAUGCCUCCAAGGUCACGUGCUCUGUUUGCACCAUGCUUAGGAAGGAGCAUACAGACCAAUAAUGGAUGAAUUGUGCACCUUGAAAAGUUCUUCCCUGACCACCUGAGGCACUUGCAUCACGGUUAGGCUCAGGCAGACUAAUAAUGGACGUACUUAUUCUGAUUUGAGGACUUCUUCAUGGUCACGUGUUCUAUUUGCACCAUGCUUAGGAAGGAGCAUGUGUACCAAUAAUGGAAGCACAGAAGCUGGUUUUCACUGGUUAAGAGCUAUCUCUGUGCUAGAAGCUGGACACCAAUAACAGUCACUUCCUGCACUGAUUCUGCCAUGAACACUUGCUCUAUGGCUGUUUUAAGGAACCUGCAGACAAAGAAUGGAUUAUCAUUGGUGAAGACCUUGGCUGGAUGGAUAGACCAGAGCUGAUUAAAUUCUUCUUCCAUGAUGAGGAACUUUACCUUAUCCCUCGGAGUUAGGAGAAUGUCAUGCAAUGUAAGUAAUAAAGUUCUUGGGUUGGGUUGUUAGUUCAUGAUUUCUACUGUCAUUUAAAAAGAUAAUUAAAUUUUAAAAGGUCAUGCAUAGGCCUAUGAUGAGAAUGUGUUAUGGACCGAAACUAAUCCAAUUUAGCACAAGUGAAGUAUAAGGAAAAAAAACUUAGCUUUUCCAUUCAUUUUCAAUAGUUAAAUGUCACAUUGUAUGUUUGUCUCACUGAUUAUUCAAAGACUCUUCUCUUGAUAAAGGCUGUUACUCAUUUAUGGAGUCAGUAUUCUAGUUGUUGAGUAGGAUGGUGGUUCAAGCUUGUUCAUUUGAUAUCUAAAAAUGUUUCAAAUUAAAUGUAGAGGGGCCAUGUCUGGACCAAUGAUGUGAACGGAAUGCAUCUGAGUAAAAAUUAUGAUCAAUCAUUUUUGAACAACUGAGGUCCACUGCAAAAAGAAGAACUAAUAUGUAAACCUUUGUGGGAAUAAUAUCAGGCAAGUUUGAGAAUCUAGUUCCGGAGCUUGAGAGGGUUCACAGAUACUGAUUUUAUACAAUUAGCAGAUCCACUUCUGUGGAUCAACACACAAGUAUAUUCAUGAGUAAAGAAAAGGAGGUUAAGACAUGGACCAAUUCUGAAGGCAUGUUGUAAAGCAAGGAAUAUAAUUAAUUCAGUUCUGAAGUACCUUGGUCCAUCAAAAAAAGAAAACAGAUUAAAUUUGUCACCACUUUGGGUAAGAAGCAUCUAGAUAGAAGUAUUUAAUAGUCAAUGUUCUGCUCCUAGUUUGCUGUGGGUUCCCAGGUGUUUGAUUCAUUAAGACAAAAAAAAUUAAAAUUAAACAAACAAAUACGUGUAUAGGUAAAUAAAUGGGUGCCAAGUAUGAACCAAUGAUAAGGGUAUUUCAUUAUUUUCUACAUCUGCUUUGUAAGCCCACAGAACAGAGGUAACUUGGCUGUUUUAAUAAUUAUUUAAAGGAUGAAGAUCUUGACUGUUACCCAUGUGGCCAAGGAGAGUGUAGAACAGGGCAAGUCAGAUUAAGUUUUUAUUCUUGGUUUAGGCUUUUGUUAGAGAUGAUGAUUAUUUAUUAUUUAAAAAGAAGAAAUGACUUUAUGCAAUCAUAAAAUCCAAGAAGACCAUGCCUGAACCAAUGAUAAGAAUGAAUCCUGCCAAGUGUCAUUUUGCAAAACGAGAUCCAUUUAAAAAGAGGUUUGGUUUGCUACCUCUUAGAUUAAGGAGAUUAUAGGCUGUUUCGAGCCUUAGUCAAAGAUCUCGUUCUUGGGUUAGUUGUGGUUCUCUUGAGUUUUAUUAUUUUAUUAAAAAUAAUAAAUAGUUAAACAAGUACAAAGCGUUUAUGCUAGUAAAAUUACAAUGGCCACUCAUGACCAACUGGGAGAUUAUACCAUGAAACAAGGAUUUGUUUAACUUGGGUUAACUGUUUUACCACUGUUUGAGGAGGUCAUGGAAAGAUUUAAAUGAUAGUCAAUUUCUCCCCUCUUUCUUGGGAGUGGAUUCUUUGUUGUUGACUUUAUUUUUGAAAAUGAGUAACUUAAUAAUUAAGUAAAUUAAUGAACAACAAAAACAUUAGAAUGGACAAGAAUAUUCAAAUGAUAACAUUUCAUGAAGCAAGAAUUAUGAUCAACACAAUUCUGCUUCUCUGAAAUCCAUUACACAGAAAAGAGUCAGUCUGUUUUCUCUGUGUAUAAUGAGGUCAGAAACAGGUGUUAAAACAUUCAGUGUUCUUGUUUUUGUGUUUUGUUGGGUUCAUGGAGUUGAUUAUUAUGAUUAAGGAAAUAAGUAUAUAAAAAAGUAAAUUAGAAGAGGGCAAAUCAUGAACCAGUGGUUAAAAUGUGUUUUGAAACAAAGAUUAUAAGUAUUUCAGUUCUGCACCAUGGACUUUUAUGAAACGAAACUUUCAUCUUUUAUAUCUUUAUUUUAAUAGUACAUAGUACCAUUCUGCAUAUACUACGGAUAUUUUAGACAUUUUUGCAUGCUACUUACAUUGAGUUUUUUUCACUAUCUCAGUUACAAAUUCUAGUGAACUGAUUUAUUUGGAGGUGGUGUUAGGAAACCCCUAUACCCCAUAUUUUAAAAUUUUCUGGUGGGUGAUAUCAGAGAGAGUACUAAAAUAACUAAUAUUAAGGUAUUAAUUUCAGCUCAACAAGUAUUGAUGCUAAUUCUUGUCAGACUCCAUGUCAGGAGUGGCAUUUAUAUAUGAAUUUAGUUCCACCCAUUAAGUAGCUCUGUGAGAUUAGAUAGAGACCCACUUAUAAAUGCAACAAUUCAAUAGAAUAGGGAAGGUAGAUGGGCUCUCUGUGAGGUUAGAGGGAGACCCACUUAUAAAUGCCACAAUUUGAUAAGAUAGGACAGGUAGAUGGACUUUCCAGAAGCACAGAAGGUAUGCCUUCAACUUAAUCUUAGUGUCAGGUGAGUUGUGGAAGAGAUGACUCCUGAGCCAGUGACAGACUCACUAGUCUGUAGCUCCGCAAAGCUGGGGACCACACUCCUGUCCUUCACUGCUCUGCCCCUUGUGCCUUACAUGGAGAGCACACACAAUAAGCAUCUGUUGAAUGAGUAGGUGAAUACAUGGUGAAUAAAAGAAUGGAGGAGUGAAGCAGUACAUGAACAAAUGAGUCUUUGAGUAAACACAGGAAUGAAUAAAUGAAGUAAUAAAAAUGGGAAGGAGUACAUGAAUGAGUGAAUGGAUCAAAUGAUAGGUCCAUGAGUGACUGAGUCAGUGAUAAGUGGAUAAAUGCAUGGUGAGUUAAUGAGUGGGUGAGUUCACGUGUCAGCAGAAAUGUCACAAAGUGAAUGAGUGGAUGAUGAAAGACUAAAGUCAAUGAGCAAAUGAAUGGAAGACUAAUAGGUCAAGGAGUCAAGAAAUGAAAGACGAACAUGUAAAUGGAUGAGUGAAUCAAUGGGUCCAUGAAUUCCUGAAUGAAUUUAUGAAUUAACGGAUAAAUGAAAGUCAAUUAGUAAUAAGGAAAUAAAUGAAUAGAUGAGUCAAUGUAUGAAUCAAUCAAUGAGUUAAUGACUCAGUGAAGAACCAAAUGAAUGAAUGAAUCUAUGAAUGAGUGAGUUUACAAAUGAAUAAAUCAAAGAAAGAGGAAACAAUUGAAUAAAUUAACUGGGUAGAUAAGUCAGUGAAUGAAACAAAUUAUGAGUGAAUAGAUAGACAAAGGGAUGGAUAAAUGAUGGAUAUAUUAUAGCUAAUGAAUAGAACAGUGAAUUAGUGAGUGAGCAAAUGAGUCAGUGAAUGAGUAUGUAAUCAAGGAAUAAAUUAGCUCUGGGAAUGAGUAAGUGAAUAAGUGAAUGAGUCAGUAAAUUAGUGAAUUAGUCACUUAUUGAAGCGUAAGGCAGUGAGUGAAUGAACUCACACUGGGACUCUUUCCCUAACUGUUCCACAGAGAAUAGUCAUGACCCAGCUUCACACCACAGCAUAAAUAAUCAGAGCGCCCACCCUACACUAUCGUGGGCGUUUGUUUACAUGUGAUCACUAAACUGAUGUGCUGCAGGGGCCAGGAACUGGAUCAUAUUAUUCUCUCUAUCCCUGGUGCCUGCCCAGCUCUGAGCCUCAGAAGAGCACAGUAAAUUGUUGCUGAAUGAAUGAACGAUAGCUAAAAAUACAUACGCUUUUUUGGAACCAGGAUGGGCCGUCUGAGAAUGGCCUGGGAGCUGUUCUUUGGGGAGGUGUGCUGUGUGUCAGAUGGUUUGUGGCAUCCUCCUACGCAAGUGCAGAUUCUGCCUUGAGUCCAGCUUCCUGUGUCCAGUGCCAGACAGUGAGACAGGAUACUGGCAGUUCAAACUGCCCUGGACGUUGGCCCAUCCUUGGGCAAUGCUGGCUUGGCAUGGUGGAAUGGAAGCCCUAGGUCUUCCCGAAAGCUGCCCUUGCCUCUGCCAAGACAGGAGAUCAGAAAUAACCCGGUCUUGUUUUUAUGCCUUCAGCAAGUGGGCCCACUCCAUGCCUUUCCAAGCAAACCACGUUCCUCCUUGCUGUAGUUGUGGGACAUUGUGUUGAAGUAGCCCUUAACCUUUAUCUGGUAGAUGAGAAUAACAAUCUCCUGCCUGGGUGGAUGUGCUGCUUUACAGGAGAUUAUUUAAUACAUGUUACAUACAUAGCAUGGUACCUGGGAGGAAACAGAUGUUUCAGAAAUGUUACAUGCCAAUUUUCUUCAUCCCCACCCAACGUAGCUAUAUUUGAUGAUUUCAAAUGCAUUAAUUUAAAAGCUCUCAAAUGGAUGUGAUACUCAAAUUCCCCUCUUCCAGAAGAUUGGAGAGUUCAACUGAGUUCUAGGAAGAAUGCCAGUCUGGAUGGUAUUCUGGGUCAGUCCAGACCUUCAAGAUGGCGUGGCAUGCCCUUCUACCAGGGAACAGUCAACCAGAAAAAUGAGUUGGCAAUAUCCACGCUCUAUGUAGGACACAUACACGAGACCCACCCUUCAUUUCUCUACCCUUCCCUCCCUUCCUUCAUUCGACAUAUAGGUAUUCAGGGCCCACUGUAUGCCUCACACUGACCAUUUCUUGUCUUCUCUUGUCUUGGCUGGCUCCUGACCCUGGAUUUCAUCUCUCACUGCUGUUCUCACGUCCUUCCUUUGAACUUGGCGAUUGGUUCUUGGUCAUCUGUUGUGAAUACUGCCCUCUCCUUCGUGAGGACUUGAUUUGGGCUUCCUACUUCAGAGCACAUCAGGUAGACUCCCCCUUCUUAAUUCGGGGCAUCAGGGACCCCUAUUCUGACUCUUCUAGGUCAGCCGUUUUCCAUCUGGGCAAGCUUCAGCCCCUUAUAAGAGGAGCUUAGGCUGCGUUGGUGGCAGGGUGACCUCUGAAUGCUGGGGUUGGGCGUCAGCGUCAGCACAGAAGGCUGUGAGAUUCAAGGGCUAGACUCUGAGAUUUGCUUGGUCUGAAAGCUGGUCUAGGAGAGAGGAGUUAGGUUGUCACUGCCCCCCGUCCACUGAAUUCCUUGAAUAAUGAGGCAAAACGACCUUUCAACAUUCAGCAACUUGCAAUUAAUUUAGUUUUCCCAUCCCUCCCACUGGUUACUCAGCCUGUGCUGGGCCUGACACACAUGUCACCCCCUCUUCUAUCUUCACAGCCCCCCGCCCUCUCCCCUAGCUUCCUUCCCACAGUCCUCUGUUCACAUCUGCCCUUCCUCACUCCUCCAUACCCACACCAGAACCCACAUCACAUUGUCUGCUAUGAGCUGCCAAUUUAUCCCAAAGGGCUAUGAACUUCUUGAGGCAGGUGUUCUUUUUAUGUCAUUAUAAUCCACAGAAGGUCUAGACAUCAGGAAAUGUUAGGUGAAUUAGGUGUUCAUCCAGUCAUUCAUUUAUACAAAAGGUGUUGGGCCCUUUCUGUGUGCCACAGGCUGGGUGGUAGAAGUAAGUAAUCUAUCUUACAAGAAGUAAGACAGACACCACCUCUGCCCUUAUAGAGCUCCAAGUCUUGGGUGAGAGAUUCUAAGCAAAUGUUUCUGGCAAAAGAAUUUAAUUACACUUGUGAUAAGUGCUAUGAAGCCAUGGCUCUGGGGACCGUCAUUUGCUCGGCCAGCUGGGUUGGUCCUGAUGUUCCCCUUGCUUCUCUCCUUGGCUUUGAGGAGAGCCUGAGAGAAGGACAGAACUCUAGCCAUGGUCAGAGAUGGCCAGUGGCUUUGGCUCCCUGGGCUCAGGUCCGUGGGGUGUUUGGACAUCUAGGAGGAAAGAGGAAUGACUGGACCUGGGGGUUUAUGCUUGGCUGUUACUUGAGUUCUGCUUGAUAAUGACCUGGGCGGUUGUGAGCCGUCGAACCCUGCCCUUUGCUCAAGCCCCUCACCUGUUAACAAAGUCCCUGCUGAGUGUCAGGGUUUAGUCUUCCCUGUCAACUUCCAAGUAUUUCUCUCAGAUAUUUUGCCAAAUGACAAACUAAAGGUAGACUGGAAUAUGAGUUGACCUUUUCUUUUUCCUCCACUGCAGUUCUGAGUUUCUUAAAGUGGUUGCCUGAGAAACAGUGAUAUCCUGCAGGCAGCUGGGCCACUGGGCAUGCGCUGUUCCAAGCACCAUCCCUGCUGCCUCCUCCUUCUGCCUUUGUUGUUCAGUCUCCACCCAGGCACCCAUCCCUCCUCUGUAGAACCCCCAGUGAGCCCGCAGGUCCCUCUUCUCAUCUGCACCACCAUGCCACCCAGGCUUCCCUCAUCUUGGGCUGGUCUUUCUGCUCCCACCUCCACUCUGUUCUCUUCCUGGGAGGUGGAGUUAGAGCAGCCUUUCUAGAAUGCAUGCCCCAGAGUCCCUGCUCCUGGAUGCCCGCUCAUGGCUCCCAUAGUCCCCAGGAUGGAGCCCCAGCUCCUUGGCCUCCUGCUAUGCCUCCCACUACAUGCCCCCUGCCCUUGUGUGCUGCCUGGCAGAGCCUCCCCGGGUCUCCUGUGCCUUUGCCCCUGAAUCCCUCUCUGUGGCCACCCUCCCACUGCUCCAUGGAUGCAAGACUGCUCUUGCUUCUCUCCCCAUGGUGGGCUAUGCUGCCCCACACUCUGAACUAUUGCGUGGUCAUGAACUUGACACUUCAUUCAUAACAUUUGUUGCUUGGUCAUGAUUUGUUUAGGUGUCUGCUUCCACAACCAGACCUUCGGCUCCCUGAGUAUAGGUGCUCUGUCCUGGUCAUCUCAGACUCCGCCACUGUCCCGUACAGACCCCAGUGCAGAGGGGCCGAUCAUUAAGAACGUCAGUUGAAUGAAGGAAUGAGUGGAUGCACAAAAGGAUAGUUGUACCGUCAUACUGGGGCACAAAUUAUAUCCCUGGUGGAGAACUGGGUUCACUGGCAUGGCGGAAUAUCACCUCCUUCUCCAGCCAACUCCACUUUGCCUUCCACCUGCGACUCAUUAAGAGAUAUGUAACCUUAAUCCUUGAAAUUGCCUGGGACAGAGCAUGUUUUCACUCAAUGGCAUGGACAUGGGGAUUUUAUUCCUCUCUUAAAUAAAUCUCACUCCCCUAGGAAGCUUGGACAGGAUGUGGGCAAUCGAACUAGGGCUUGAAACUGAACGUUUUGCAAAAGGCCCCUUUCGAAAUUUGAAACCCUGUGGCCACUGGCCAGAGCUGAGUCUGGCUUGUGGGGGUCGCGGGGGCCUCCUUCCAAAGAAGGGAAGGGAAGAUUGAAAAUAAACCUAGGCUGAUGGUUUGUGAGACAGAAUUCUGAGGUCUGGUUUUGCUUCUCUGACGAAACUUGAGUGAACUUGGCCAUCCUUUUUAGCUCUUCUUUUGAGCCUUUGGUCGAAGGCUCCAACCCUCCCAAAGCCUCCCUCCCAGAAGGGAGCUUGAUUUGAUCUUGAAAUGGAUGGGACAAGUGUGCAGGCACUAGGUGGGAUGGGAGCUUUGGCCCACGUUGGGAGGAGAGGGAACUCAGGGCCAGGGCCAGCAAUCGUGCAGUCCCGCUCAGAGGGUGGAGUGGCUGGAGGCUGACCUUUCUCCCAGGGAGCAGGCGCUGGGUGGACCCUGACACUGGGGAGAAUGAAAGGAAAAUUAUAUCAUGCCUAUUGUGUGCCAGGCAGAGGCAGCAGUUCCCCUUUCAUCUGGGGAAUGUCCCGGGUGGGUGAUGUCAGUUCCUCAUUGUGCAAACAAGGAAACUGAGACCCGGGGCCCAUCCCAUCCACGAUUAGGGCCCAGGCAGCUCUGACUCAAUGUUCAGUGCUCUCUGCAGGCAUCCAGGCACUUGCCACACAGAGCAGUGACCAAGGAUCACAGAUGCAGUGGGCUGGGGGGAUGGCAGAAAACAAAGGGUUAGGGUGCCCGGAUGCCAGGUUCUCAGUGCUGGUGUCCUCACAACUGGCUGUCCCUAUGCCCCUGCUGUCCUCAGUGGGUGGACACUAGAUCUGGACUGACCCCUGGGACAGGAGGAUUCGAGAUGUCUUAUUCUCUUUUGAUUUCUUUUGUCUUUUCUCUGCCAGGAAGAUACUGGUCUCUGUUCUUGGUUAAGUUCCCGGAACCAUCUAAGUUUCGUGCCCCUCAGCUGUAAAAGGGAAGUGCAUUGCAUUUGUUUAUUCUGUAAAACUCUUGGUGUGUGCCAUGGUAUGCACUGAUGACGAGCACAUGUGUGCGGCCCUGCCCCCGUGGAGCACGUACAUGGUCCUUCAGCCGGAGACCGCGCUGGGAGAACUCAGGGGUUCACUCCCGGUCGGAGGUGAGCAUCUGCCUGUGCACACAGGAAGGCAUUUCGUGAAACCCCAAAGGCCCCGCAGCCCCCGCACGUGGAAGGAGUCACUCUCCUCCUUGUGGGGUGAGCCACGCUGGCCUUGGGGCAUUCACGUGUUCUCUCCACCUGCUUCUCCAGCCUGAAGGGGACCUCAGUGUCCUCUGAUGACCUUCUUGAAGAGAGACAUUUCCUCCCUGCCUUCAUUGGAGCCUUUAGACGGAGCCGAUGACAGCCCAGCUCAGGUUGUUUCCCAUCUGUGAAAUGGGAAGAGGGAGGAUGGCGCCAGUCCCUUGCCCUCACCACAUUGUCCGCUACAGAGAGAAAAGAUGUUUCCAUUCUGAUCCCCACUCACCUCUACCCCGUCCUUCCAGGCUCCUGAUCCUCAUUGUAAUUUGGGGGCUAUUUGGUGAUAUUUUCUUUGUCCUUGGAUCUGAGGCUUCGCCUACCAGCACGUGUUUUUUCAACAUGACAAAAUAAAAGCCCUGGGCCAGGCGGGGUGGCUCAUGCCUGUCAUCCCAGCAGUUUGGGAGGCCGAGGCAGGUGGAUGACAAAGUCAGGAGUUCGAGACCAGCCUGACCAACAUCGUGAAACCCCAUCUCUACUAAAAAUACAAAAAAUUAGCUGGGCAUGGUGGCACGCGCCUGUAAUCCCAGCUACUCAGGAGGCUGAGGCAGGAGAAUCGUUUGAACCCGGGAGCUGGAGGUUGCAGUGAGCUGAGAUCACGCCAUUGCACCCCAGCCCGGGCAACAAGAGCGAGACUCCGUCUUGGGGGGUAAAAAAAAUAAGACAGCCCUGCUCCUGCAGCGGGGGCUGAACCCCAUCCCUGCCAGACGUUUCUGGUAUCAGCAGCAGCUGGUGACCCCGGCCAGCCCCCUGCCAGUCGGGGUUGCUGGCAGCCACUCAGAGGGGACAAAGACCAUCCUGGGCACAUGUGUCCCUCCUGUGGCCUCCCUUCCUUCAGCUGCCCACCCCUACCCCCACCCCGUUGCUGCUGGGCUCCUGGCUUCAUUUAUUGAUGGACUCUCCUGUGGGGUUCUCUGGGGAACCCAAGCCAGAGUUCAGACUUCAUAAAGGGCUGCUUAACUGACUCCCUGUGUCCCGGGGUUCCCCUGUCCUCCUCUGCGACCCUGGUCCCUGGCCCCCUCAUUUGCACGCAGCUGUGCUAUACAUUCCCUUUGCAUCACCCCCCACCCCCUGCUCCCUGCAAAACCCCACUGCUCUGCAGGCCACAAAUCUAGAGAUUUAAUACCCCAGUGAACUGUGGGUCAUGUUCCUUGGCUCAGCUGUUUGCUCAGCUGUUUACUCAGCUGGUGGGUGCUCAUCAGAGUUAGAGAAGCCAUAUUGGAGGGGAGGGGUCCCAAAGGUAGCAGCAACCCCUCUAAAGCCAUGGAGUUGGGUGCCAAGGGCCACCCGGGGCCCUGUGGUCACACGCUGCUGCAAUAAAGGUCUCCUGGCUUCACCUCCCAGACUUCCUCCUUGCCAUCCUUUCUCGGGCACUGUGGCUGUGUGGCUUGGGUUUGGAUUUGUAUUGUGAGGAAGAAGAGACAGAGUGGGGUGUGUGACAAGGGCUGGGGUAAGCAGGAAAUCAAGCCUUGCUAGUUGGUUUUCUGGAGUGGAAUUGAGCCUUAAGAAAAGAGACUUGUGAGGGCCAGGUGUGGUGGCUCAUGCCUGUAAUCCCAGUGCUUUGGGAGACCCAUAUGGGAGGACAGCUUGAGGCCAAGAGACCAACCUGGGUAACAUAGCAAGACCCCAUCCCUACAAAAAAAUAAAAAGAUGAGCUGGGUGUGUUGGUGCACACCUGUGGUCCCAGCUACUCAGGAGGCCCUCGGGAUGCCCCUCUACCCUGACUUCUAGUAUGGCUUUGUGCCACUGUACUCCAGCCUGGGUGACAGAGCAAGGUCCUAUCUCUAAAAAAAGAAGAAAGAAAAAAAAAUGAGCCUUGUGAGCUGGAAACAAGGGAGGCAGAGGUCCUUCGAGUUCCCCAGCCCAACCCUGCGGGACCCCCAGGGAGCUGUCCCUCCCUCCCUCCCUGCUUCCCUGACACGAGUGGAGUCUGUGCUGCCACACCGGCCACCUUGCUGAAGCCUGCCAGUGCUGCAGGGGGGUGUCACUGGCCUUCCUUACAGAGAAGGAAACUGAGGCUCAGAUGAAUGCAGACAGCCUAGGCCUGCGCCAAGUCUGGGGUGCAUCUCGCGUCCGCAUACCUGCCUCCAGUACUGCUCACUGCCCCCGGGACACACAGGUAGGGGAUUGAAGCAGAAGCUGGCAGCGGCUCUGUCUGCAGAGGCUGGUUGCCUCGUCUCCCAUCUGUUUGCUUGGGUCAGGGCCCCUUUCACGAGCAGGCCCCCGUCCGGAGAGCACUGCAGCACAUGUUCACUGUUUGCUCAGCAGGAUGAAAGAGCUUACCAAACUUUCCUGGCCAAGUUGACCAAUUGGUGAUUUUUCAUAAAGCCCUGCAGCAAAGCAUCUGGAAAGCUCCUUUCCUGCUCCUGACAGUCACCCCGAACAGCAUGUUUCCAAAUGCACGGAACAUAUGGGCUGCAGAGCUGAGAGCCUUGCUCCUGGCCCAGCCAACAGAAUGCCGUCUUCUUUCUCUGGUGUGGGUGCAGGGGCCGCUCUCAGCUGCCUCAUCCCCAACCUUAGAGCCUUGCCUUUGGUACCCGCUCGCUUGCCUCCAAAUUCCUGCGUCCAAGACCUCAGGGACAGCCCCUGUUGGGUACUCAUCUGCUAUUAAUACCAGCCCAUUUCUUUUCCAGCAAGGAGAGCCUGGCUGAGUCAGUCCCUGGGCCAAGAUUGGUAUGGAAGGAACUCUACUGAUAUGAGCAAGGCAGUGAAUAGGCAAAGCACAGCUCCUGAAUCCAGGAUCAGGUCAUAGCCAGUGGCUAUCAGAGCCUCAGAUGGAAGAGCCAGCGGGAAGCCCCAGACCCACCUGGCUGUGUGGGACGUUGACCCAGCACAGGGAGAAGACCCAGGUGGAUGUCAGUUAUAGUUACUGUUCUAGUUCCGGGUUGGAGGCUGGGCUUAUCCAUGGGCACUGAAUCCUUAAAAAGUUAAAUGAAGAUACUAAAAUAGAGCCACUUAUGGACUCAUGUUGACUGGUGUCAGAAUAAAGACUACAAUCAGUCCAAUUCUGUGUAUAUCUGAGUUUGAGGACAAUGAUAGUAAUAAUAACAAUAGCAAUAACUUGACUGGUCUAAACCUCAAUGCAUUGCUCUACUUGGCCAAACCUGUACACCCUCCUUCCCCCAAGUUCCUUUAUCUUGAUGAAUGGCCUCAGUAAUCCUGAAACCAAGGUCUGCUGCAUCUUCUUCCUCCCCUGCACCCUCCAGGAGCAAUCCAUCACCGACUCCCAUCAGCACGACACCCUGAAUGCCUCUCCUCCUCACUUCCUUCCAGUUGCCCCUGCCUGGUCGGGCCUCAUCCUCCCUGUCUGGCUCCAUUGGAUGCCCUCUGCUUGCUUGCCUCGUCUCUGGCUGUAUCCUGUGGGUGACAUGCAUGCAUAACCGGCGCCACUUAAACCCCCCGGUGGGCUCCAGGGUGCACCAAGCCACGCCAUCUCAUUGGCCCCGUGUCCUUUCCUUUUCCUCUCUUGCUCCAGCCUUACUUGUAAUUCCUCAGUUCUGUCACCUCCAUCAUGUCUGUCAGUCUCAAGAUCUCCUCGAAACCCCCAGCCCUUCUCCAGACCUGUUCAAGUGCCCCGUUCAUCACUCCCCGUGUGCAGUUCCGUAGUUGUCCAUUUUGCAUUGACUUCCCAGUAUCUGGAGGCAGGAGCCGGCUCUGACCCGACUUGCCAUUCCCAAAGUACCCUCUCAGUGACUGUGGCAGGUCCCCCUGCCUUGUCAAUAAGUCAUGUGAUUGGGCAGGUUGUGUGACUUGUCCCUCUUGUCUCGGAAGGUCGUCCUGCCCAGAGCCUGUGAAGGUGCAGUGGCCUGAGCCAGGCUUCCAAGAGGACAACCGUGAUGGGCUCAGCGUGUGCGUUGCUGGGAGGACUUUUCAACGUGAUGGCAGCCUGGGGGAAGGCAGUAUCACCACGAAGUGUCAUGGAACAUGCAGGUGAGUCGUCUGUGGUUGCCUUCGUCGUGCUCCCAGUGGAUCGUGUGUGUCAUUCAGGCUCUUUUGGCAUCAGACCCUGCUGCUGGGGGAUGCCUGGUUCUUGCCACACUCAGUGAUGGGCUUGAAUGAGCCAAGCCCACCGCAGGGGAAUACCAGUUUGAUAGGAAUCAUGCCCUGGACAGACAGCGCAGGUGUCCUGCACACCUGUCCCCAGCCUGCAGUUUAUUCUGAAAGGAUGUCCUGAGUAUAAUGACACCUUAGAGGAGAAAAGCUGAUUCUGAGGUCAAGAGGAGACCUUGGGGACCCUGGAAUUGGCCUAAGUUGGGACCUGUUUAUUUCUAACAGGAAUUGUGGAGUUGACUUAUUUUAAGUCUGGAGAAAUCCUUGAUGUCGUGCCAACUUGAGGGGAGGGCAUUUUCAUCAGCCCUGAUCCAGGGGAAGGAAGUGGAUGGCCCACCAUGGGGCCCCCAGGAACACACCUGCCUCACUGACCAGCACAUCUGACCCAUCCUCGGGGUUGUGUUUCUGCAGAUGGUUCUUCUUUGGGGUGCUUGAGGAGAGGUUUCCUUUGGCAUAUCUAUUUCUUUUAUAGAAAUCGUUUCUGUGGACCACUCUUCAGUAUCAAACACCAGCUCAGAAGGCUUUGGGAUAAGACAGUAGUUGUCAAGCCCCUGGCCAGGGUGAGUGGGCCGGAGAUGGGCGCUUCUCCUGUUCUGAGCAUCCCGUCUGGCAGUCAUGCUUGGUGCCCGAUCCUUUCCAGGAGGACUUCCUGGAGGUGAUGCCGGCCUCUGGGGAAGGAAGCGGCUCCCUGCUAGCUCUAAGGCCAAGGCACAGAAGUAGGUUUUGCUGGUGCUGCAUUUGUUUUGAUGGCUCUUAGUUGUGACUGUGGGUCCUCAGCUCAUCCGUGGCAUUUGGGGAGGGGACUUGUGAGGAAGGAGGGUGUCAGGUUCUGGAGAAGGCCGGGUCUUUCCAUCUCAACCCUGCUUUUUAUAACCAGAGACAGAACAUAGGAGGUAGCACCAAUGACCACCGUUGCCAACCCUUCCUACUAGCUGAUACCCAAACACCAUUCCUUCCAGCCGAAAAGGGCCCUCAUGAAGAGAGGGCAGAGGGAGAGAGUGCCAAGGCCAUGUGACAGCAGGCAGUGUGCUGUCGCCUCUGGGGUAUUCAGGUUAGGCGGCUGCUGAGUCCAUGCAGAUUGGGUGCUCUGCUGGCUACACAGAGGUCAAAGGACAGGUGGCAAGGGUGCAGAGCCGAAGCCUGGCCCUGGGAUUUUCUUCCCUGCCCUCUGCUCCAGGGUCCACCUUCGGGGGAAAGGAGGGCACAAGUGUACAACUUUGUAAGAGGAAACCUGAAGUUUUCUGAUCCCUGAUUCUCUCCAGCCCUGUCAGGAUUGACCUAACUCUCUGUUGAAAUGCAAAAGAGUCUGGAAAUACCAGUAUUCCCCCAACAAUGAAAACAAUUAUUGUCAAAGGAGUUUUAUAGUAAACAGAAAAUCCAGCCUGGAAUUGGCUAAAACAUUUGGGGAGCUCACAUCAGGAAAUGAAAUUUGUUUUUAUUUCUUAAUUCUACUGAAUUGGAUUGAAGGCAGCAGAAGGCAUUAGGUGGGUGACCUGGAGGAGGGGGGCCUGGUCAUGCUCCCGGCUUCCCUGACCCUCCCUUCCUAGGUGUGUGUAGGGGGCGCUCACUUUGCUUACAACUUACUGGGCACCAUGCAUCUGGUUUUAGAAUCACACCUUGCCUGGAAGACUGCUUGGAUCCAUGGCCAAUGCCACACAGAGGCCUGGGCGCCGGCUAACUGCAGACCCAGCCACCUGCUUCUUGACCACAGAAUUCGAGAUUUCCUCAUGAACUCUACUGAUGCACUGACUUCGGGAUGCAAACCAUUAUGACUGGGGGCACUUCCUGUGGCCCGGACUUCCACAAGGAAACCCUGGUUCCGCCAUCAGGAAAGCUCCAGUACCUGGAAAGAGGUUGUACCUAAAAUGUUCUCUGUAUUGGUGGAAAAUGUUUCACGGGCAACCUCUUUUCACUGUCAAGGCUUAAAGGGCUUUUGACUGACCUCCCGAAAGCAACCUGGGAUACUCGAACAGAAGCCCUCUGACAUCUGGUCUACGCAGUGCCAUAUAGAUCCGCGGAAUCCUCCUGGAGGUGACACUGAUGUCGGCGAAGAUUCGGCAGUUUUGUUUUGAUAUUUUGUUUGUUUUUUAAUCAGUGCUAAUCGUCGAUACUCGAAGGAGAGGUUGUCCGUGUUGUCUUCUCUUUAUUUAUGAUGAAACAUACACGGGAAACCUCUUCUUUAGUAUCAAAUCCCACCCUGGAGGCACUUCCUGUUCCUGAUGCAGCCUUCAGGGAGGGAUGUUGCUGGCUCCUGUCUCGGUGGGUGCAAGCGAGGCCGACGGCUUGCCGUGUGUCCUAGGGGUGCGGCUCUCAGGCCCAGCGGUCCCGCGGAGGCCCCUGGGAGGGCAGCUGAGUCUGGAGAAGGGCCUGUGCUUCUGUGGUUGAGGGAGGUCACUCAUUGUGGUGUGUGCCUAUUUAUUGACUCACGGCGGGUGGUGCCUCUUCAGUGUGAGGUCUUGCUCAGAUGGCCUUCUGGACACGCUAGCAGUGUCACUGAAGGGACGAUGGUGCCAUCUGCUCUCCAGGGUAGCUGAGGGGAUGGUAGACCGGUGACGUGCACUUCAUUUACGAUGUAGGUCACCCGUUUGACUAUCCACCAGCGCCCGGUCCAUCUGUGGGAUGACAUCUUGGUGCACAUGGCAACUUCGGAUAAGAUGUGGGAGGACGUGGGGCUCAUGGGACUCUGCAGGAUUUCAGGAGGGGUUUCCCUUUGGGGGCCCCUCCUCCCACCUCCUUAAAGUCAAUAUAAGCAAUCAUCAGUGAAUAAUCUCUCUUUUGGUUUCAAAUCCUGCCCAGGAGGGAUGACAGCCUGAGCACAGACAAUGCCAGGACCGCGGAGGCCUCAGCUUCAGUGCCCCAGCAAGGAAAGGCCCACCUCACACCGCAUGCUGACUGCAGGAGGAGGACUUCCUGGACAUGAAGCUAGAUUCUGGCAGUGCCCCACUGGUGUCAGCAACACUCCUGGUGAGUCGUGGAUGGGAGACUGAGGAGCUGGUGGCGUGAUUGAGAUGAGCCCUUCCUGUGUCGAGACCACUCAGAAUCCAGCCACUCCCGAGGCGGUAUCCAGCCCACGCUUGGGGAAGGCUUUGCUGUCGUUGCUCACCUCUGUCUGUGGUUCAGCUCUGACUGCCUUACAAGGCCCGAGAUGCCCUGGAUGCUCUCAGUGUCAGACUCUGGAAGAUGUGUCCUGGCUGUGACACGCUGCAGGGGAGGGCUGUGGGCGUCAGGUCCCUGGAGAGGUAUGGGAGCGGAUAUCUUGUCUGAGAGCAGACGUUCUGCUUCGGGUGUGUGUCCUGGUCCGUUCAUCCUCAGCCUCCCUCCCAUUCCUAGGAUGACUUGUGGAGAGAAGGCCUGCUCUGGAGUCUGAAGGUGAGACCCACAGCUCUCACCCCACCCUUGGGAUAUUCCCACGGCUACGGCAGAGGCACAAGAAAGUGACUAGAAACACAGAAACUCCUUAAGGCCAAGGCUGGGAACUGCUGUGUUUCCACGCAUAGAUCAUUGACCAGAACAAAUUACGUGGUUGAGCCCAAGGCAAGGGGCAGGGGGGGACACUCUACCCGGGAGGAGGUUGUGGUGAAGUGCGAAUGCAUGAACUGGGGAGGAUUUGCCACCAGGAGAGUUGUCCACGUGGCCCACCUGAGGACUUGGGCUUUAUUCAUUGCUCAUUCAUCCCUCCCUAACCUGCAGCUCCGAUCUGCCAUGGGGGCACUUCUCGGGCUCAAGCUGGUCGACGGUGGUGACACUGUGUCAGGACCUCUGGUCAUUCCAUCUGUUUGAGGCAAACAUUAAAACAUCCCUUGCGGUACUCGUUCUGUGAAGACUUCCUUGGCUCAGGGGCUCCAUCAGGGCCGGCACUUUGCUGUUUGCCCCUGAAGGGUAGGUGGUAGAUCUCAUCGAUCUUAUCUGGGGAGUUAUUGUGACUCUCCUGGUCCCUGCUUAUCUAUCCACAGGAGGACUUUUAGGAUGCCAGACCAGUGUUUCUGUGCCAUUGUCAUUCUGUGAUCCUGGAGGAGACUUUGUUAUUGAUGAACACAUCGUGCCCACAGGCACCUCCAGGACACAGUGCCACCUGUACAGAGGGGGCAGACCUGUUAGAAGUCUCCGAGGUCUUGAGGUGGGUUGUAUACAGGGCCAUAUCUUUGUCACCCAUUGCCCGGUGUGCAUCAGGACCCGUGUGUUCUCAGGAAGCCUGCAGAAGUGAUACCAGUCGCGGAGAAGCAGUGCUGUCAACGGUGCUGACGUGCGGUACUUAAUGAGAAGUUGCCCGUGUCUUUUUCGCUUUAUUUGUGCCGAAACAUUCGCGGUGCACUUCUUUUUCAGUAUCCUAUUCUGCCUUGAAGACGUCUUGGUUCGGGGAAGGCACAUGGGCCCCUGUAGUGGAUGCUGGUCAGGACCUCCCCACCCCAUAUCUUUUCUCCCUUCCUAAAUUUCCCCUGGUUUUUUUAAUGAAAGCUCCUCUCUUCCCACCGUGUGCUUUGAUUGCAUUGACCCUGCCUGACUUCCUUCACCAGCCCAGGCUUAAGUGAAUCUCUUGAUCUCUUCUUCUUUGCCACUGCAAUUGCUUCCAGAAUAGGCUCCUGACCCCACUGAGCCAGUGAAAGGCAAGGAGAUGUUUGCUGUGGCUUCUGGGAAAGAAACUGUUUCUCCCUUUUCUAUGAUAGCUGCCAGAGUAGACACUGUCUAUUCCAUUUAGCUGGGAACAGACAGUGAACUUUGAUGUGAGCUUCGAAGGUCCUACAGCCAUUUAAGGACUAAGAGGAGAGGGCUUGGUGCCACACAGACACAGAAGAGGGAGUCUGUACCACGAAAGGCAUCUUGGAGACCUAGAGAAGAGCCUGGGUGAUACCAUUUGAGUCCCUAGAUCAAACCCUGCCUGAAGCUUGCUCUGUCUCUGUACUUUUUAGUUAUGUAAGUCUAUACAUCCCUUACUUGUUGAAGCCAGUUUGAGUUAGAUUUUAUCUUACUUGCAAUACAAACAGAUGAUACCACAGUGUGUUUUCCAGUGUGACUGGGAAAGCCUGCAUUUUUUUGAUGAUAUGUUUCUCACGGUUUGCCUAUCUAUCUUCAGCAUCCUAUUUAAGGCAGGGUCUUUGUGAAAGGUGACUUUUCUUAUGGACUUAUGCUUUCAAAGCUUUGUCUUAGUGAUUUAAUUUAUGGUUGACAAAUGAUGCACAAUUACCGUGUUUUGUGUCCAGCAAUGGAUCACUGGGUCCUCUCUGGAAGGCCUGAAGGGUGGUGGGCCCCGGAACUUGUGCCCUGAUUCACUCUCCCUGGAAUCCACCUCUCGCUGGGAGGCUGCCCGUCAAGUGAUGCGGACUUGGGGAAGCUGUUGUCCUUUCCUGGCCCCUGCUGUCCUUUGGCUUUCUGUGGGUUGGUUGUAUUUGUCACAACUCACACCAAACUGUCAAGUAUUUUAGAAGCCAGCCAUGCCUCCAGGGAACCCAGAGCACCUUAGGGAGGAGGCAUGGUGGUCAGGACCAUGCAAGGUGCACAGAUAGAUGGGUCCACCGAGAGCCGGGGCUGCCUAAGUGGUUUGUUUCUCCUAAUUCGUUAUCUUUGUCUUCCCAUCUCUGAAGAGGAGAACUUCCUGGAACCACGGACUCAUGGAGGAGAUUCUAUUUUUGGGUCCAGGAACAUCCCAUUUUCUCCAUUUGUGGGUUUGAUAGUAAACAUUCCGAAAGCCGUCUGCCCUGAUGAUUGAAUUCUGCCCGUGAAGACUUCCUGGGAUCCCGAAGUAGAGGGAGUCUAGGAUCGCUUUGCUUUAUCUGUGAUCUGUGAUGACUGUCCGCCUCUGCUCAGUGUCAGCCCAGCCCUUCGCAGCAUGCCCCCCGCCUACCUUGGGUUAGCCAACACCUGAUGCUUUUAAGCUUAAUUGAGCAUAAGUUUGAUUGGUAGUGUCUGCCCAGCCCUGUCCCCACGCCCUGACCCUUUGUGUCCCUUCACGCCCAGGUGUGCCGCUGGUGGGGAGGACGUGCUCAUCUCUGGUACCUGAAAAGAAGUUGCCCAUGUUAUUUUCGCUUUAUAUGUGACGAAACAAACAUGGUGCACUUCUUUUUCGGUAUCAAAUCUCUCCUUGAAGAGCCUCCAUCCCUGAUGGGACCCUGAGCAUGGGACCUGGUGUCACUACCUCUCUUGGUAUGUACAUGGAGGAUUUGUCCCGGCAGCCCCUCGGUGACUCUGCGUGUUGGUGGGCUCAGGGACCAUGCUCAGUCCUUAGUCCACGCCCACCUCUCGGAACAGGCACAGUUGGCGAGGCCUCAGCCACAUGCCAGCUCCCCACUGCAAGGGAGGCUGGGGAGACGCACUCCCAGGCUCCACUAAGAAGUGUUCCCCAACAUUUGAGAAGAGUUCCGAUUAUAGCAGCCAAAAACAAAAUAAAAAAGGAAGCAGCUGCCACAACCACAAAAACAAAUAAGCAGUGAAGACCCCCACCCCCAUCCGCUCUGUCCAGAGGUGCGAGGGGAUGGCUGAAGGGGACAUGAGGACGUGCCACCUGGUGGACUGCCACCCGCACCUCCACAGAAGAAUUGAUUGGGGGUAGCAGUUGUGGCAGAAGUCGUCCCUGUGGUUCGGGGGGACAGGAUUUCCCAGAGUGAGGAUUCACUGGAGCCUAAUCCUCCUAGCCCCGCUCUUUCUUUUCUUUUUCUUUUCUUUCUUUCUUUUUUUUUUUUUUUUGACACGGAGUCUCACACUGUCACCUGGUCUGGAGUGCAAUGGU